rnacentral:piRNA from 1 species
AUUACUCUUGAUUCCAAAGGCAGA